AUCGCCGGAAAAUCCGUCCGGGGGGUCUAAGGGAUGUCGGGCCUGCCAUCCGUGGGCCGGUAGCUCAGCCUGGGAGAGCGUCGGCUUUGCAAGCCGAAGGCCCCGGGUUCGAAUCCCGGCCGGUCCACCACGAAGAGGUGCACAUCCCAAGCGAAGCUUGGGGUGGAAGGGUCCUAGGCCCCGAACAGGGGUCACGAUGAGGACCGUGCACAGGCCGAUUGACCCAAAAAAUGCCCAGCCCCCUGAGUAGG
rnacentral:tRNA from 1 species